rnacentral:rRNA from 1 species
GUAUCUUCGGAUAUGAGUAGAGCGGCGGACGGGUGAGUAACGCGUAGGAAUCUACCUAGUAGAAGGGGAUAGCCCGGGGAAACCCGGAUUAAUACCGUAUACCUCCUUCGGGAGAAAGAAGGCCUCUCUUUGAAGCUUUCGCUACUAGAUGAGCCUGCGUAAGAUUAGCUUGUUGGUGAGGUAAAGGCUCACCAAGGCAACGAUCUUUAGCUGGUCUGAGAGGACGAUCAGCCACAUUGGGACUGAGACACGGCCCAGACUCCUACGGGAGGCAGCAGUGGGGAAUAUUGGACAAUGGGCGCAAGCCUGAUCCAGCCACACCGCGUGUGUGAAGAAGGCCUUCGGGUUGUAAAGCACUUUAAGCAGGGAGAAAAAGUUAUAAGCUAAUACCUUAUAACCUUGAUGUUACCUGCAGAAUAAGCACCGGCUAAUUCCGUGCCAGCAGCCGCGG